rnacentral:misc_RNA from 1 species
UUCUUCAUGUGGAGAUGACCCGAGMGAUCGGGUCGAUGAGMUCCGGCUCCUCCAUCGAAGAUCAUUAWGAUACAGGGWCCUGUCAGGGUCCCAUUGGCGGGACAACGCCGUCCUCGUUUUUCUUUCUCAGUCCGGGSAACGUGCUCCGAAGAUCAUCCGGAUCUUCGUCGAGCCGCCUGGAGAUCCAGUUUGSAACGAUCUGAGUGGCUUUACGGCCCGGGUCGCGUGCGAAGAUAUCUAACAUCGUGAAGAGGGAAUGUGGCUGAUGACGGGGCGAGAGCCUUUUGUCGUCGGUCAUGUUCGGCAAGCAUACGGCGGUCGGGUCGGAAACGACCUGAUCGCUGGUCUUUUUGCGACCGGAUCGUGUCUUCGGACAUCGAUCACGGGAGCGAUCAAGUGCCUUAAGAGCAUUCGGUGGAUGCCUUGGGCGCUGAGAGGCGAUGAAGGACGUGGUACSCUGCGAUAAGCCUUGGGGAGCUGCGAACGAGCUUUGAUCCAGGGAUUUCCGAAUGGGGAAACCCACCCUCGACCUUUUGUAUUGUGGCCCCAACCUGGCGGCGACNCCGGUCUGUCCUUCACUACAAUC